AGAAUUUGAUCCUGGCUCAGAUUGAACGCUGGCGGCAUGCCUUACACAUGCAAGUCGAACGGCAGCACGGGGGCAACCCUGGUGGCGAGUGGCGAACGGGUGAGUAAUACAUCGGAACGUGUCCUGUAGUGGGGGAUAGCCCGGCGAAAGCCGGAUUAAUACCGCAUACGCUCUACGGAGGAAAGGGGGGGAUCUUAGGACCUCCCGCUACAGGGGCGGCCGAUGGCAGAUUAGCUAGUUGGUGGGGUAAAGGCCUACCAAGGCGACGAUCUGUAGCUGGUCUGAGAGGACGACCAGCCACACUGGGACUGAGACACGGCCCAGACUCCUACGGGAGGCAGCAGUGGGGAAUUUUGGACAAUGGGGGAAACCCUGAUCCAGCAAUGCCGCGUGUGUGAAGAAGGCCUUCGGGUUGUAAAGCACUUUUGUCCGGAAAGAAAACCUCUGGGUUAAUACCCCGGGGGGAUGACGGUACCGGAAGAAUAAGCACGGGAUAUCA
rnacentral:rRNA from 2 species